rnacentral:sRNA from 1 species
GGCUGAACGACAACUACCCGCAAUUAAC